UGACGACGACGACAAGGAAGAGGCGGA
rnacentral:sRNA from 1 species